CUUUUGCGCCGAAUUUGUUCUAUGUUGGGUAGACACAGGGAUGCCCCAGUACGGCGAGUGAAGCGGCAACAGCUCAAAUUUGAAAUCUGGCCCCCUUGGGGUCCGAGUUGUAAUUUGCAGAGGGAGCUUUUGGCGUCGGUCGUGGUCUAAGUUCCUUGGAACAGGACGUCACAGAGGGUGAGAAUCCCGUACGUGGCCGCCGGCCUUCGCCUUGUAAAGCCCCUUCGACGAGUCGAGUUGUUUGGGAAUGCAGCUCUAAAUGGGAGGUAAAUUUCUUCUAAAGCUAAAUACCCGCCAGAGACCGAUAGCGCACAAGUAGAGUGAUCGAAAGAUGAAAAGCACUUUGGAAAGAGAGUGAAAAAGCACGUGAAAUUGUUGAAAGGGAAGCGCUUGCAGCCAGACGUGCCCGCGGUUGAUCAUCCAGGCUCCAGCCUGGUGCACUCCUCCGCGGGCAGGCCAGCAUCAGUUCGGGCGGUCGGAUAAAGGCCUCUAUCACGUACCACCCCUCGGGGUGGCCUUAUAGGGGAGGCGCAACACGGCCAGCCCGGACUGAGGUUCCGCGCAUCUGCUAGGAUGCUGGCGUAAUGGCGGCAAGCGGCCCGUCUUGAAACACGGACCAAGGAGUCUAACAUCUAUGCGAGUGUUUGGGUGUCAAGCCCGAGCGCGCAAUGAAAGUGAACGGAGGUGGGAACCCUCACGGGUGCACCAUCGACCGAUCCUGAUGUCUUCGGAUGGAUUUGAGUAAGAGCAUAGCUGUUGGGACCCGAAAGAUGGUGAACUAUGCCUGAAUAGGGUGAAGCCAGAGGAAACUCUGGUGGAGGCUCGCAGCGGUUCUGACGUGCAAAUCGAUCGUCAAAUUUGGGCAUAGGGGCGAAAGACUAAUCGAACCAUCUAGUAGCUGGUUCCUGCCAGUUCCCCCCCCCGAGAAAAACGGGCUACGGAAUGGUUCGAUUAGUCUUUCGCCCCUUUCCCAAUUUGACAAUGAUUUGCCGUCAAACCCUCCCAACUCCCCCAAAGUUUCCCCUGGCUUCCCCUAUUCGGGCUAAU
rnacentral:rRNA from 1 species